CUUUAUUUCAAUUCAAUACAACACUCUUACAAUCAAGCUUACAAUCUCUGCACAAUCUGAAACCCGAUUCCUCAUCUACACAAACAACGUGCUUAUUUUAAAAUUACUAAUAUGAAGUAAUAACGUCAUAAUUUUCAUAAUGGUUCAAUGUUUGUUCUUGUCAAAGAUUCAUUGUUUUUAUUAACUGGUUUUACAAAAACGCAACUAAAUAUAGAUUAAAUAUGACACUAUUAGAAUAUUCAUGAAAAUAAAUUCCAAACAAUCAAAUUCUUCCUUAAUGUUUCCAAAACUUAUAAAAGUCAAUGUAAUUAAACUUAGGGGGUCGCAUGCAAACAUGUCACUGCAUAAACGGUAUCCCAAAAAGAGCUUCCAAAGCAUCGAUGAACUGCUUCAACUGUUCCCAAUCUUCAGAUCGGAAUGUGUAUAGCUUGCCUUUGGUGUUCAACAUACAUGUAAGAAAAUCAAUGUAAGACUUGCUGGCAUGGUGCUUGCGGACUGCAUCAACGUGUCUGCCAGGAAGAAUGUUGCUCAAUUCUU